rnacentral:lncRNA from 1 species
GUUGGCCCAUUUCUCAUUCCCUCUCCUCUUCUUUUUCUUUUUGUCUGGGCUUUUUCUUUAAGGCCCAGUACCCGAGUCCACUCUCCUAUCUCUGGCCCAUUUCCAAACCCUAGCCCAUUCCCACUCAGAUAUAUCCCACCCCAGGUUCUCACUCUCUCUCACUCAGCGCCGCUCUCUCUCUCAAACCCUAAUCCCUCUCUCUCGCUGACUCUCCAUCUCCUCCGCCGCUCCACC